rnacentral:sRNA from 1 species
GCCAGGAGUGGUGGCACAUGCCUGUAAUCCCAGCUACCUGGAAGGCUGAGGCAGGAGGAUCAUAAUUUUGAGGCCAGCCUGGGCAAUUUAGUGAGACCCAGUCUCAA